UGAAAUUUUGCCACAAAUCUAUUUCUUCAUUAAUACACUGGGUUUCAGAAGUGUGUGGCCAUACUGAGGCUGAGGGAAUUUGAAGGCGUCCCAGCAGAGGAUGUUUGGUGAGUAGGCUAGGCCAGAGAUUUGGACAGGGAGCUGGCUUCUUUUUGGGCCAAGGGCAAAUGAAGCAAGACAUCUGUCCAAGUGAAUCCCCAUUCGCACUGGAAAUGUCAAGUUAUGGCCCACCUGGCACCAACUUCAUCUCCCUUGCUGUGUGUCUGAGAGAGAAAUGUUUUACUUUUCUCCUUUAGGAGCCAUGGAGUCAUCACUAACUCAGCUCGUACCCUUGCCUAGGCCGCAACUUCCCACUCUGUUCCUGUGCUCAGGGAGAGCUAUCAGGCUCUGCUCCACCAAAGGAAAGAAGGCCUUGAGUCCCGGCGUACUUGGUGCUUGGACUGCUCUGUUAUGGAGGGUAAAGGAGAGCCAGCUUGCCUCACUGACCUGGAUGACUGAGCAACCGAGAUUCCCCGAUUUGGAGGUGAGCAUCCAAGACUUUCCUGACCUGAUGCAUGGGUCUCAGAGUCUGAUUUCCCAGAGGACAUCUACUCCCCCUGUCCCUGAACCUUUGGUGGUGCCAUGGAGCCAUCACUGACCUGGCAGAAAUGGGUGGGCUGCAAUCUCCCGUUCUGCUCCUGUACUCAGGGAGAACUAUGAGGCUCUGCUCUACCAAAGGAAAGAAGGACUUGAGUUCCUGGGUGCUUGGUGCUUGGCCUGCUCUGCUAAGGAGGGUGAAGGGGAUCCAGCUUUCCUCACUGAUCUGCAUGACUGAGUCAGCAUUAGAAGAGCCUUUGCCAGGAAUGAUGGAACCAAGUCUUUGUUGCAGAUUCCUGAGCAACAGCCCUCAGAACCCCAUAGCUACAGCUCAAACACUGCUGCCUCCUUCAACUGAUGGGAAACAUGGCAUGGAUAAACCAGAAACCCCUGGCUCCUAAAGAAAGAAGGCAGGCUUCUUGCUGACAGGGAUCCCAGGUGUAAUCCUCCACAGUUCUCCCUUAGCCUAAGCCCACAGGCCUUUCUUAUUCUGAAUACAACCUGAUUGAUAGGAGACUGUGUUGAAUACUUCAUUCUCUAGUGUCUCCAAAUCAUGUGUGAUGAUGAACUCUGGCAGCGUGUGACUCCAUUGCCACCCCUGAGCCCUUUUGAUGAAAGUUUGCAUGGAAAAUAUUCUGAGACAGUAUCUCAGAGUAAUAUCCUCUUCUUUCAGCAUGGUGGUGUUUUAGUGUUGGUGAUAGAAGUGUUGCAUUAGGCUAUUCUCAAUAUGGUUCCAUAAUGAUGUGGCCCUCUCCAAACCCAGGGCAUGUGCAGGUGCCAAGGGAGAAUGCCUUGUGGGUAGGCUAAGGCGGAGUGGGGGUAGAUCCUACCUUCUGUGGACAAGGGAAAGGCAAGGUCGUGGUCUCUUUCCUUGGUUUCCCCCAUGCCAAUUUGAAUGAACACCUUUGACUCCCCUUAUUGUCAUUCCUCUCCUAUUUCUGCUUUCCUAAUUUGGUCUCAGUUCACACACAGAGACCUUGUGUCUGUCCCCUAUACCAACCAAGGGGUCUGGAGUGGAGGUGAGUUUCCAAGCUGUCCUGAGACAAUGUGGGGCUCACAGGGUCUGAUACCCCAGAGGACACCAACCCCCGCUGUCCCUGAGCCCUUGGUGCUGGGCAGGCAACUGUAUCUUGGGAAUGGAUAGUCUCAUGUACCUGCCCCUAAUGGAUGGAGCUACCGUCAUUCGGAAGAACAAAGAGAUCCAUGACUGGAUCAGCACACAAAAAGUCUUUUGAAUAUACACUGAGCCAAACCCUCAUUCUCACCUCUUGAUC